UCUAAAUUGAGAAUUUGCCAUCACUACUACAAUUUCCGUAUUUUAUGGACGCUUUUACCUCGACGCCGUGGUACUAGCGUUAACGUACGAAUUUAUAUUCCGCUUAUUGUCGACGCUUUUCCAAGUCGAAGUAAUCUAUGGACACUAAAAAGCGUCGACAAAUUCACAUGACCCGCACGUUUCCCUCGAGUUAAACCGCCUAGGUCAGAUCAUCUGAGUUUCUAACUUGCUACGCCUCAUCUAUCUAUUUGUUCUCCACUCAAAUUCAUUCCAAAAUCUAAAAUAAUCCCCGAUUAAUUCAUCACUCAGUUUAAAUUCGUUCUGGAAAUUGUGGAAAUUUUCUUCACCAACUUGUCAAUUUCAUCGAUUAAUAUAGAAAACAAGCAUCGCCAUACCGAUACUUAAAAGAAUUCAUUGACGGCGCAUCAGCUUGUUAAAGAUUGGAUGAAACAACUUACUCGACUAAGAGGGUAUACAGAUCAAAUGAUUGAGGAUGCUAAUGAAUUGAUGCUCACUUUUGGAUCUUGCCGUCGGGGGAGGAUUUCUUUUGCAUUUUCCAUGAUAUUCUGGCACAAUUGGUGGAAGUGAGCGAGCUUCAACCAAUUCCUGAUGCGCAUGUACCAGUGAUGAAAUUUAAGUUUGAUGGGAUCUCUAUUGAUCUUCUUUAUGCUAGUGUUUCCGUCUUGGUUGUUCCUGAAGACUUGGAUAUUUUCGAUGUUUCGGUUCUAUACAAUGUUGACGAAGCUACUGUUUGAAGUUUAAAUGGAUGCAGGGUUGGAGAUCAAAUUUUUAAGUUAGUUCCUAACAUCAAGGGAUUUGGAGGCUUUGGCUACAGAAUGUGAACUUAGGGAGGAAGAGAGAUGGCUCCCUAGUAUUGAUCGAUCAUAUGCUUUAAUGUGUUGCAGGGUCAAAAGAUUAUGUAGACAUCCAUGUAUGAAUACUGAGAAACGGUAAAAAAAGGCUGACAACUAAUAAGCAAUAUUUCAAGGACGGAAGAAAUAUAUAUUUAAGCUCUUUAAAGAUUUCAAUUAGUGAUUCGGAAUUUGUUCCACUACAACUAGUCACGAACGAAUUCUAAAUUUCAAUUAUAAUUGUUGUAAUAGAAACUCAGUACUAUGAGAUUUGUAUAUAUGCUAUACUAUAUUUAUGUAUGCAAUAUAAAAAUUUUGGUAUAAUUUUGUUG